UACGUAGGGUGCGAGCGUUGUCCGGAAUUAUUGGGCGUAAAGGGCUCGUAGGCGGUUUGUCGCGUCGGGAGUGAAAACCUUGGGCUUAACUCAGGGCUUGCUUUCGAUACGGGCAGACUAGAGGUAUGCAGGGGAGAACGGAAUUCCUGGUGUAGCGGUGAAAUGCGCAGAUAUCAGGAGGAACACCGGUGGCGAAGGCGGUUCUCUGGGCAUUACCUGACGCUGAGGAGCGAAAGUGUGGGAGCGAACAGG
rnacentral:rRNA from 1 species